rnacentral:rRNA from 1 species
UAGGGAAUCUUCCACAAUGGACGAAAGUCUGAUGGAGCAACGCCGCGUGAGUGAAGAAGGUUUUCGGAUCGUAAAGCUCUGUUGUUGGUGAAGGAGGAUAGAGGCAGUAACUGGUCUUUAUUUGACGGUAAUCAACCAGAAAGUCACGGCUAACUACGUGCCAG